rnacentral:precursor_RNA from 11 species
ACACUUAUCGGAUAUCUUUUUCCGUCAUGUUGAGGAGUUAAUUUGCGUGUUUUUGUAUUUGAUUAAACACGUCCAUUAACUCUGGUACAUGAUGAUAAAAGCCAACAACAGGACCGGA